rnacentral:tRNA from 1 species
GGCAGUUUGGUAUAGUGGGUUAACACCCUGUCUGAAAAAACUAAGGGGUCGGGGGUUCGAAUCCCACCAGUGGAA